rnacentral:lncRNA from 1 species
CAAUUGGAAGAUUAUUAGAGUAGUUUAUGUCCUAAAAGCAAUUUGUAUGUAAUUGUAAAUAUAAUGUAGAUUAAUAUAAAUAUUUUUCUUCUUAAUUCUACUUAAAUAUUAUAAAAUUUAUGGCACACAUCAAUUUAGAAAGUAGUUCAUAAGUACUCUAGGGGAACUAUCUAAAUGAUCAUAAUGUUUACCAUAGGGAGGAUUGGAUAUGAUCAAGUGCUGAGGAUUUAUUUAUGGCUAUGAAUGUAUAAUUCAGUAUCACACGUAUGAGGUUGCUAAUGUGUGUAUGGACUAUGUGAAGUUCCUCCACCAAAGUGAUGGCCGUACACUAACAUGUAGGUAUGUUAUCAUACUGAAUGAUCACCACUGGCAAUCCAUCUCAAAAAUCACUAUCAAGGGUUAAGGUGAACCAAAUCGAGUAGCUUAGAAGUGGUCUCUUA